GAUGUCCUUUAGAGUCCGGGCGAAGGUGAGCACUGCUGCCUUGUAUAGGUGGACCUGGUCAUAGAGGCUGUUCAGGGUAGAGUGGUGGGCCAGGAAAACAUUUGGUUUUGAGGCACAGUCACGGGAAAUACUUGCGUCUCCCCGCUGUAUGGUAGCAGGGUGGAAGUCUUUUCAUGGUAGCAUUGGAGAAAGUAGAAGAAGCUUUUUCAAUCACUCCCUUCAGUGCUGUGGCAACCCUUUCCUGCUAUGUUCUCAGGUUGUUUGUGCCUGUGUGUAUUAUUGUGUGGCUAGGUGAACCUAGUUGGUCCUCAGACAGAAGGUCUAGGGCACCCUUGAUGUUUGGGCACCCUGGAUGUUUGGACACCAGAGUUUAGACACACUGGUGUCUAUUUUUCCCAUUUGAGUCCAUCCUAAGUACAAUACACUCUCUCCCUCUCUCAUCUAUCACUCGCUUUUUCUCUUCUCCUCCCUCCUCUCUUUCACCCUCCUUCUCUCUACCCUCUCUUACUCUCCCUCACGCUCCCACUUCUCUCUCCCCCCUCUAUUACUUAUUUCCCCUCUCCCCCUUCUCUCCUCUCUUCUCAUCUCCCAACUUCACCUCUCUCUCUUCUCUCACCUCCACAGACAGGAUAUUGACGCAUAGAUAUACAGUACAUCAAGGGUAUUGACUCAUACAGUAAGAAUAGCAUUCAAAGCAAAACAGUUGGUGAUAAAGCUGCAAUGGGUAAAUUGGUGAAAGACAGACAGACAGACAGACAUACAGACACAGAGAGACAGACAGCCAGCCAGGCAGACAGACAAACCCUAAACCUAACCCUAAACCUAACCCUAAACCUAACCCAACCUCAUGUCCACAUACCUGGGGUAAGUUGUGCCGAGAGACCACUUUAUUUGGACAAGAUAUGUUUUGAAAACCGUAAUGUUUUCAGAUUAUUUCCAGGGAUACACAACAUCCUGAAAAAUAUGUAAAUAUCUUUGUAUACUAUAAUACUAUAUUUCCCUUGAUGGAGAAAUGCUGAAUGUAAAAAAUGUGCUCAACUUACCCCACUCUCACUUACACUUAAAAUAACAUUUGGGUUGGGUUCGGGACCAGUUCUUGCGGAACUGCGGUUAGGUUCGGGACCACUUCUUGCAGGACUGCGGGUGGGUUCGGGACCAUUUCUUGCAGGACUGCGGGUGGGUUCGGGACCAUUUCUUGCAGGACUGCGGUUGGGUUCGGGACCAUUUCUUGCAGGACUGCGGGUGGGUUCGGGACCAUUUCUUGCAGGACUGCGGUUGGGUUCGGGACCAUUUCUUGCAGGACUGCGGGUGGGUUCGGGAACAUUUCUUGCAGGACUGCGGUUAGGUCCGGGACCAUUUCUUGCAGGACUGCGGUUGUGUUCGGGACCAGUUCUUGCAGGAGCAGAUGGGAGUCUGACAAAAAGCCAGUGGGGGUGAGCUGGUACGGUAUUAAAAGCUGCUUGUGUGGUUGGGUGGGAGCGGGAUGAAGAAAUCAGUCCUGUGCAGACCUCUUGCUCAAGGGCUCUGGCUACUGUUAGCCAGAUAGCUAGCUAUAACUAGCUGGCUAGAAGGAUGAAGUCAGAAGCUAAUGUUUAACAGAGCCUGACCUCAGCAGGAGGAGUCAACUGAAAUUAAACUAGCUAUAAUCUUAACUAAAGAUAUGCUAUUAGAAGUUCUCAUAACAAAAUAACUUUGCUUUACAGAGAGCAGUGAGGCAGACAGUGGUGAGGCCGACCGCAACGCAGACACACAGACAGAGACAGCAGAGAGGUUGGGGUCCCCUGAAAUUGAGAAUGUUUAAUCUUAUCAAACACAUUGUUUAUCAUCAAAUGGGUUUAGAAUACAUAUCUUUUUUUAUUCAACAAGGCAAGUCAGUUAAGUACACAUUUUUAUUUACAAUGACGGCCUACACCAGCCAAACCUGACAACACUGGGCCAAUUGUGCUCCGCUCUAUGGGACUCCCUAUCACAGCCGGUUGUGAUACAGCCUGGAUUUGAACUAGGGUGUCUGCAGUGACACCUCUAGCACUGAGAUGCAGUGCCUUAGACCGCUGCACCACUCAGGAGCCACAUACAACAUUUUUUGAGUCAACUACGGUCCUUUUACAAUGCUAGAAUGCACUUACUUGUCAUUAUGUGUUGGGACAGCCCGUGGGACCUAAAAUGUAAUAAAUGAAAAAGACAAUGUAAUAUUAUUCUCAUGUAUUUGAAAAUCUAUUGUUAAAACUGCUUUGCAGAGAGUAGUUAGACAGACAGUGAUGAGGCGGAGGCAGGCUGCAAUUCAGGAGGAGGUGGAGGAGACAGACAGUGAUGAGGCGGAGGCAGGCUGCAAUUCAGGAGGAGGUGGAGGAGACCGACAGUGAUGAGGCGGAGGCAGGCUGCAAUUCAGGAGGAGGUGGAGGAGACAGACAGUGAUGAGGCGGAGACAGGCUGUAAUUCAGGAGGAGGUGGAGGAGACAGACAGACAGUGAUGAGGCUGAGGCAGGCUGCAAUUCAGGAGGAGGUGGAGGAGACAGACAGUGAUGAGGCUGAGGCAGGCUGCAAUUCAGGAGGAGGUGGAGGAGACAGACAGUGAUGAGGCGGAGGCAGGCUGCAAUUCAGGAGGAGGUGGAGGAGACAGACAGUGAUGAGGCGGAGGCAGGCUGCAAUUCAGGAGGAGGUGGAGGAGACAGACAGUGAUGAGGCGGAGGCAGGCUGCAAUUCAGGAGGAGGUGGAGGAGACAGACAGUGAUGAGGCGGAGGCAGGCUGCAAUUCAGGAGGAGGUGGAGGAGACACAGAGAGAGAAAGGUUAGUAGUACAGCUGUCCCUGAAAUAUGAUCCCCUUAGAGAAUCUGUAAUCUAAUCAAACACAUGAAUAACUUGUUUAUUUUCGAAUGGGUAUAAAAUACAACGUUCUAGUCAGCUAAGGGUGCACUUCGGCAGUUUACAAUACAGACAACUGAAUUGCAUUGCAGCUCAAGUGAGAUGCUAAGAACAUGAACGGAAUUUUAAAAAGAUAACUAAUUUCAAUACAAACAUCUCCACAUGCUAUUUCUCUGAACUUUUCUAGUGUUCAGUCCCAAUGAACUAUUUUGGGAGGGCAACCUGAUGUGCAUUUUGUGUAAUUUGUAACCACAGAAAAUGACAUUAGGCCUUCCCUAUAGACAUGCAUGAUUGGUGUUUGUUCGUCUUAUCUCGAUCGUCCAGUGGAGUUUAUAGUUUAACAACCUUUUUUUUUAACCACUACCUCACUGGUGACCUUUUAAGAAAGCCCUGUGUCGAGGUUCAGCUUAAUUUAGUAGGAGUGACUUAAUUCAUCCUCCACAUGGUGCUUCAUUCUCUCCCUGCGAAAACAGAUUUCCAUCAUCUGAAUUGUUAGUGUCCCCAGGAGGCCGUACAUUGACUUUCAGCUUCCUGCGAUUACAGGAAGUGUCUUAAUUGGGGGUCAUAGGGGCGGUUUCGAAGGAUUAUAAAAGUUAAAUCUUAUACGUAAAUCGACCCAAAAGCAUUUUUGACCUCUAUUGGAUAUAAUGGUCUUGCAGUUCAAGAAAUUAAAAUUACCUGGCUACCCAGACUCCUCAAUCCGGCCAAACGCCCACGAACGUUAGUUUCUUCUCCGCAAUGAGUCUGGAUCUGAGUACCUCCGUCGGGAGGCAGUCUCAGACUAACGAAUGUAGCAAACGACAGAGCAGCAGAAUCAGUGUGAGUCGUUAGGCUUAAAACUUGUUAGAAUGAAUUCUGAAGAGCAUGUUGGUCACAUUUUUAUUUAUUUAUUUGAAACUGUCUGCCUUUGCAUGUCUAUCUGUCUGUCUGUCUGUCUGUCUGUCUGUCUGUCUGUCUGUCUGUCUGUCUGUCUGUGUUUGUUUGUUUCUCGGAAUGUCUUUCUUUGAGUGUCUGUUUGUCUGUCGUUCUGUCAGACUGUCUGAGUCUUUCACCAAUUUACCCAUUGCAGCUGUAUCACCAACCUUUUCGCCUUGGAAGCAAUGUAUUGACUUAUGCGUCAAUGCCCUGUCUGUGAAGAUGGGAGAGAGGAGGAAGAGAAAGGAAGGAGAGAGAGAGAUGAGAUGAGGGGGAGGGAUGGAAGAAGGAGCGAGAGGGAAUGGAGGGGGAGGAGAUAGGGAGAGAGUGAGGGAGGGAGAGGGAGAUAGAGAGGG